GGCGAUGUUUGAUCCUGGCUCAGAGCGAACGCUGGCGGCAGGCCUAACACAUGCAAGUCGAGCGCCCGUAGCAAUACGGGAGCGGCAGACGGGAGAGUAACACGUGGGAACGUACCCUUCAGUUCGGAACAACCCAGGGAAACUUGGGCUAAUACCGAAUACGUCCGUAAGGAGAAAGAUUUAUCGCUGAAGGAUCGGCCCGCGUCUGAUUAGCUAGUUGGUGGGGUAAUGGCCCACCAAGGCGACGAUCAGUAGCUGGUCUGAGAGGAUGAUCAGCCUCACUGGGACUGAGACACGGCCCAGACUCCUACGGGAGGCAGCAGUGGGGAAUAUUGGACAAUGGGCGCAAGCCUGAUCCAGCCAUGCCGCGUGGAUGAUGAAGGCCCUAGGGUUGUAAAGUCCUUUCGGCGGGGAAGAUAAUGACGGUACCCGCAGAAGAAGCCCCGGCUAACUUCGUGCCAGCAGCCGCGGUAAUA
rnacentral:rRNA from 1 species